rnacentral:lncRNA from 1 species
CUCGGAGAGUUAAGCAGCGCGCUCCGUACCACACCAGCCUCCACGCCGUCCGCUCGGAUUACGCCAGCCCUGGUCGCACCGCCGAUGGUUUCGGUUUCCUCCUCCCAGCCCCGUCAGACCGUCAUGUCUGCACCAGCCUGCCCAGCUCCACGUUUACUCCGCUGGGAGGACUUCCUGCACUCAUCCGGUCCCCCGUCCUCGUGCUCUGCUCAGUUUCCAGCCCAGCCGUGCUCUGUUCAGUCUCCAGCCCAGCCGUGCUCUGUUCAGUCUCCAGCCCAGCCGUGCUCUGUUCAGUCUCCAGCCCAGCCGUGUUCUAUUCAGUCUCCAGCCCAGCCGUGUUCUGUUCAGUCUCCAGCCCAGCCGUGUUCUGCUCAGGUCUCAGCCCAGCCGUGUUCUGCUCAGGUCUCAGUCCAGCCGUGUUCUGCUCAGGUCUCAGCCCAGCCGCGUUCUUCUCAGGUCUCAGUCCAGCCGUGUUCUGCUCAGGUCUCAGCCCAGCCGUGUUCUGCUCAGGUCUCAGCCCAGCCGGGCUCUGCUCGGUGUCAAGCCCCAGUUCGGCCGGGCUCUGCUCGGUGUCCAGCUCCAGUUCAGUCAUGCUCCGUUUAGGCUCCAGCUCAGCCUCGUCGCAUCCGGAGUCCAGCUCAGGCCGGUCACGCUCCAGUCCCGUCGAGUCACGUUCAGGUUCCAGCCCCGUCGAGUCACGUUCAGGUUCCAGCCCCGUCGAGUCACGUUCAUGCUCCAGCCUCGUCGAGUCACGUUCAGGCUCCAGCCCCGUCGAGUCACGUUCAGGCUCCAGCCCCGUCGAGUCACGUUCCAGCCCAGUCGAGUCACGUUCCAGCCCAGUCGAGUCACGUUCCAGCCCAGUCGAGUCACGUUCCAGCCCCAGCCCAGUCGAGUCACGUUCAGGUUCCAGUCCAGUCGAGUUACGCUCAGGUUCCGGUUCCAGUCCAGUCGAGUCACGUCCUGGUCCCAGUCCGGUCGAGUCCCGUUCAGGUCCCAGUCCAGUCGUGCCACGCUCAGGUCUUGUUCCAGCCAGAGGGCACCACCCGUCGAACAAGUGCUAUGCACACCCGAUCAGGCCCGACGUCUACUCCGUUGAGCGCGGCAGCUGCAAGCAGCCAUGCCGGCUCCGGAGUAGAUGCCGUCUCAGUCCCUGCCGGCUCCAGUGAGGAGCCAGAGAGCAGCACUGCUGGCUCCAGUGAGGAGCCA